UGGUGGCACCUAACCCUGCUCUGCCCUCUGGGUGGGAUGCACCUCCUGGGGCUUGGCCCCACAUCCCAUACCCCAGCUUGGUUCUCAAAGUCUCUUUGUUCUACUGGGAUGAGCUGUGGCCAGCCCAGACCUGAUAAGGCUGAGUUAGGCCAAUAGUAGCCCCAAACCACACCCAGGCUGCCUUACAUCCAUAAUGAACUCCCCUCAGAUUGGCUUAAAUGCAGGAUGCUUCCUGCUCAGGUUUGGGUCUGAAAGACUUAACCUCUGGGAUGACCCUCCCUUUGUUCAUUUAAGACCUCUCAUCUGGAUGGGGAAGCAGGCUAAGGGGAUUAUCCCCCUUUUAGAGAUAAAUGAACUAAGUCUCCUAGAGGAAAAAUGACUCACCCAUAGUUAUUUACUCCACAAUCAGGAGCAUCAAUUGUGCUAGGUUUGCUAUUUACAGUAUCUUUUUAAAUCCUAGCAGUCUGCAAAGUGAGAGAGUUCCUAAUUCCUACUUUGCAGAAAGGUGAAGUCCAGAAGCCCAGAGAGGUGAAGUCACUUUCCCAUGGUGGCACAGUAGUUGAAACCAGAACUCAAGUCCUCUGCAGCAGUAACUGAAGGAGCCUAGUGAGUGCCCAGCUGAUGGCCGGCACAAAUUUAGAGCCAUGAAGGUCACCAUCUUGGAUGACCAGCCUCAUGGAGCCUUUAGAUGGCUGCAGCCUGGCCAACUUCUGAAUGCAACUGCAUGAGAGACUCCCAUUGAGAGCUGCAGGGCUACACCCUUUCUGAAUUCCUGACCCACAAAUGCAUAAGCAAAAUAAAACGAUUAUUUAGAACCUUGAA